ACGGAGGGUGCAAGCGUUAUCCGGAUUCACUGGGUUUAAAGGGUGUGUAGGCGGGCUAUUAAGUCAGUGGUGAAAUCUCAGGGCUCAACCCUGAAACUGCCAUUGAUACUAUUAGUCUUGAAUUCUGUUGAGGUGGGCGGAAUAUGUCAUGUAGCGGUGAAAUGCUUAGAGAUGACAUAGAACACCCAUUGCGAAGGCAGCUCACUACCCGAAUAUUGACUCUGAGGCACGAAAGCGUGGGGAUCAAACAGGA
rnacentral:rRNA from 1 species